AUUGAACGCUGGCGGAAUGCUUUACACAUGCAAGUCGAACGGUAGAGGGGGCAACCCCUUGAGAGUGGCGAACGGGUGAGUAAUAUAUCGGAACGUGCCCAGUCGUGGGGAUAACGUAGCGAAAGUUACGCUAAUACCGCAUACGAUCUAAGGAUGAAAGCGGGGGAUCGCAAGACCUCGCGCGAUUGGAGCGGCCGAUAUCAGAUUAGGUAGUUGGUGGGGUAAAGGCUCACCAAGCCAACGAUCUGUAGCUGGUCUGAGAGGACGACCAGCCACACUGGAACUGAGACACGGUCCAGACUCCUACGGGAGGCAGCAGUGGGGGAAUUUUUGGACAAUGGACGGCAAGUCUGAUCCAGCCAUUCCGCGUGCAGGAU
rnacentral:rRNA from 1 species